AUGGUAAAUUCAUCUCAAAUUCAAGAUCCAAACAUAAAGAAGGAGAAAUUGAUUGAGUUCCUUUGUAGUUGUUGCUUGCUAUGUGUGUGUUGUCCACUAUGUUGUUUCAUCAAACCAUCAUGUAGAAUAUGUCAUCAGGCGCUGCGGCGUGCGUGGCGGUGGUCUUGUUAUGGACGGAAAAAUAAGGUGUUUGCAGAUUAUUCUUCAUUUUCUGACCGUGAUUAA